CAUGGCAUUGAUGUUUUGAUGAGCCCAGACCUGCUGUUUUAUAGACUGUCCCACAGUUUUACAAAUUAUUAGAUUGUUUGAUUGUUUCCUUAUGGUUUGAUUCAGAUUACAAGAACACUGUAUAGCUGAUGUUGCCACCUUGCCACCCUCUUAUAACAUCACAUCAGAAGGGGCAUGAUAUCAGUUUGUCCUAUUUUUGGUGAUGAUUCUGUGAGACUGUAAGCUCCUUGAAGGAGCUAACUCAUUAAGGAAUUCUGUGAUGUCUAGUGCACAGCAGAUAUUUUUCAAAUGAAAUUGACCAUUUUAUAAGAAAAACAAGAUCAUAAGGUCUUCUGCCUCUACUUCUAAUGAUAAAUGAAACUACGCUGUAACUCAUCUCAAGAAGGCUCUGCGCUAUGGUGAAUACAGAGAAACUUCGGGAUGUAGUGUUUGUCCAAGAGUUAACAUUAAUGUGACUAUAAAUUUUGUCCUCAACCUUUUAAUGACUUUUCAAUAAAUACUGCAUGAAUA